rnacentral:rRNA from 1 species
AACGAACGCUGGCGGCAUGCCUAACACAUGCAAGUCGAACGAAGGCUUCGGCCUUAGUGGCGCACGGGUGCGUAACGCGGGGGAAGCUGCCCUUUGGUUCGGAAUAACAGCUUGAAACGGCUGCUAAUACCGGAUGGUGACGAAAGUCCAAAGAUUUAUCGCCAGAGGAUGAGCCCGCGUUGGGUUAGGUAGUUGGUUGGGUAAAGGCCUACCAAGCCGACGAUCCAGAGCUGGUCUGAGAGGAUGAUCCGCCACACUGGGACUGGGACACGGCCCAGACUCCUACGGGAGGCAGCAGUGGGGAAUAUUGGCCAAUGGGGGCAAGCCUGAUCCAGUAAGGCCGCGUGAGUGAUGAAGGCCGUAGGGUUGUAAAGCUCUUUUACCCGGGAAGAUAAUGACUGUACCGGGAGAAUAAGCCCCGGCUAACUCCGUG